UAUGAGGCAUGUGCACACUCAGCUCAUCCACUCUUAAACCCUAUGUGCACCUAUGUAGAGUUUGGUGAAAGUCAGCCGAAAGGCUGAUAAGAUCCUUCUCUAUGUCUUUUAUACAAACGUUUUAGUUAUAGAAUGUUACCUUGCAUUUAAUGCAUUAUAGUAUAACUUUCAGCAACGGAUCUCUUGGCUCUCGCAUCGAUGAAGAACGCAGCGAAAUGCGAUAAGUAAUGUGAAUUGCAGAAUUCAGUGAAUCAUCGAAUCUUUGAACGCAUCUUGCGCCCUUUGGUAUUCCGAAGGGCAUGCCUGUUUGAGUGUCAUGAAAUUCUCAACCUCUGAAAUUUUUAUAAUUGAAGAGGCUUGGACUUGGAGGUUGUGCUGGCUUUUUUUAAAGUACGGCUCCUCUUAAAUAUAUUAGUGCGAAACUUAUGGAUCGCUCUUCAGUGUGAUAAUUAUCGACGCUGUGGGUGUGAAGUAUUUUUAAUAUUUCGUGCUUCUAAUAGUCCUUUAUAAGGACAGACAUAAACUUUGACAUCUGACCUCAAAUCAGGUAGGACUACCCGCUGAACUUAAGCAUAUCAAUAAGCGGAGGAA
rnacentral:rRNA from 1 species